UUUACAUAGAACCUUGAUUGUUGCUGACGAACCUCAUCAAGGGGGAAUUUCCAUAGGGAUAUUAUUAGAUUGUGGAUCUUUACGUAUUUGUAGAAAAUUUGAAUGUGCAAGAAACUACGAAAUACACGUAAUAUGCAAGAAUAAAAAAUAUAUAGUUAUAAAUAUAUAAUUUAAAAAAUACAUAUCGAAAGUAAAGUUCAUAUUAUAAUAUUGUGCAUAAGGAUUCGCAGUCCAGAUAUUAUAGUUAGAGUAGAGGAGCCAGAGUUCAAGGGGUACCACAAUUAAAAAGAGAAAGAAAACCAGCGCAUGCGUACAACCGUAUGCCUGUGAUGUCAGUGUUGCAAUGGUCAAACCAUACAUGUUCGCCUUCAAACAGUGUAACUUUAUUCUAUAGAUCUCUUUCAUAAAACCAUAAAUAAUAGAGAUAUUAAAGUGUUCCCAUUCAAAUGCUCCACCCUGUAUGUAUAUGUAUGUAUAUGUAUGUAUACAUAUCAACAUUUUCUUGUAAAUAGUUAUCUAGAAACUUGCAGUUUCAUUCUAAAUCCGUGAAAGUCUUGUUCCCAAAAUUAUUUUCAUUUUAAAAUGUUGGUAAUAUUCUUGAUUAUAAAAUAUAGUAACGAUUAACUUCAUCACAUAAAGUUACAAAUAAAUAGUAGGUCUACUUUAGGGAGGCAUAGAAUUAAUUUCUACGCCUAACACAAUGUCAAGUUCGCGCCUAGAGUUGAAUUAUGCGAUGAAUGACCUCGAUGAAUUAAGUUCCUAAGGAAGAGCGACAAUGUUAACGGUACAUCGGAAUCCUUCGGUAGGAAGCCAACAAAACUGGUCUCCAAUCUGGGUCACGACCUGCUUCCUACUCACCUACAGACCUAUCUACCUGACUGUCGGGCUCAGGUAUGCGCAACCUUCCUCGUGCCUACCUAAAAACUCUCCCUGGUCGUUCAUCUUGUUUUAAGCCACUUUCUUCCACCUGAUCGGAACCGAUACGCGGAAUGUGGACGUUAAAAAUUGUAAUAAAAGUUUCGCACGUCGCGAUGUUUAUCACUUCGACUAUUAAAGGCGCACUAGAACACUUAUUAACGAUAUUUUUAUAUUUUAACGGUCGCGUGGGUCAAUCGAGACCCACGCCUCACGAUUUCAAUGUUUCCAUAAAGAUUCUCGAAUAGUGGUUUAUUCGUGAAUUUAUUACGAACAAACGGUUCAAUGAAAUCAUUCGACAUUUUGUACAUGUUUGUAUACGUGUCAGUCGAAAACAUCGAGUUGACCUUGAAAUGAUUCGUGUAAUGGCUCCUUUUGAUUUACCAAAACCGUAAGUAUUAUCUGCUUUCUCUACUCACUGUGACCUUCAAUGACCUUAUGUAAUAGGUCGUUGAGCUCGCUUUAAGAUCCUCUAUCAUGAUACAAAAACAUAGAGAUAGAUUUAAAAUAAUGGAGGUGACCUUCAAAUAUCCGAGGUACCUCCACCUGCACAAAAAACUAUUAUCCCCAUCGGAUGGUCCUUUUCGUACUGUGUAAUUUUAUUUCAGCAAAUAUUUGUGAAUAUCUGUGAAACUUAUACUUUCGAAGAUAUCUGAAGUACUAAUUAUUGCCCCACCCUGUAUAUUCAAAUUUUUGAGAGUACCUUUAUAUGAAAAAAAAGUUUCAAGAACAAAAAAUUAGAAAAAACCUUGGCUAGACUAGACUCUCCCCAUGAAAAGAAGAGUUUCAAGCUUAAAAUGAAAGAUACAAAAAAGAAAAAUAAGAAGGUGUGCUAUAUGGUGCUUGAAUCGAUGAUUAACCAGUAAGUAAUUUAACUAAAUUCAUUACUGCCUUAAAUUUGUUUACAGUAUUUACUUUUUCAAUCGCGUUUUUCUCGAAAUGACUUCUAUUGAAUUUCUGUACACUCUAGCUCAAACAGUUUUUAACCAAUCGUUUAAAAAAUUGACAGGUUGUUUCUUUAUAUGUAUAAUUACGCCCUAUACGAACCUAAAUUUGAAGUGAUAUCAUUGUCUGAAGUAUUUUUUUUUAUUACCAAAACAUGUUGUGAAAAAUUAUACUCUUUUGUUUUAACACCUAGAAAUGCAAUUUGCAAUUGUUUAGGAUGCAAGUUAAGCUCAUAUAGAAGAAAGGUAUAUCCUUAAAGUAAAUUUGAAAUCCUAUUGCUUUCAGAUGAAACUGCGGCCUUCAGAAUGUACAUAAUCAGCUACGUCUGAUGGUAAUCUUCGUAGCAGCAAAUAAAACUGUGGCCUUCAGAAUGUACAUAAUCAACUACGUUUGAUGGUGAUCUUUGUAGCAGCAAAAAAAAGAACUCAUAGAUAUCACUAAAAGAAUGUCCUAAACUGCACGAGUCCUAAAACUGUAUAUCUAUACAAAAAUGUAAUCCUAAGCUUAUUUCCUCGUUGAAUAAUGUUAAAGGAAGUUAUGUGGGCCAUGGUCGAGGACGAUUUCGUCCCGUGACUUUGGGUGUGGGUCAGGGUCACAGAUGAGAGAACUGUUUGGUACCGUCACGCGCGAUUAUACUCCGCACUCCGGGUCAGUGGCCUCAUUUUGUUUCGGACCGGCUGCUCGGUGAAAGGCGAGGAAAAAUUCCAACCCGGUCACACCUUUAUCGGAUCUCGUCUUGGAGUAAUGUAGAAAGUUAAUUGGCCGACGCGACGUCUAAUUAAGAGUUCCUCGACGCGCCUGUCUGCGCCGUUCGUUUACUCCGCGACGCAUUCUUCGACUGUGCCAUUCAUACAAAUAUUAGAAGCCCAAAUCAAUUAGCUCCAAUUUUAGAAUUUUUUUUUUUCAAUUUUAGCAAUUGAAUCCUUUUCAAUUUUAGCGUCGAGGGACUCGAUCCUGACUUCCUUUAUUCGUAAUAAAUUUCCUUAAUGAUAGUUAUCAACAAUGUUAAAAGACAAUGUUUGGUUGGCCAUCAAAUAAAUGAACAGAUUUUUUGCAUUCAUAGGAAAUUUGAAUGUGCAAGAAACUACAAAAUGCGCGCAAUACGCAGAAAUAUAAUAAAAGAAAAAACAUUAAAAGUAAAGCGAAUAUUGUAAUAUCUGCAGAAGAUCUAAGUUUCGCAUCAGUUAACGAAAGUAUUUACGUAUGUAUUUAAUUCAUAAUGUAUCCCACAAAUUAAGUCUGAAAUUAACAUCUAAUUUUGUGGGUACUUUAAUAUCUGAGUACUUUAAUACCCCACACCUGAGUCCAGUACUUUACGAUAUGCCUGUAACGUGGAGUAAUUUCAAUGUCAGUUACGUUUGUGGACUCGUAUUCGAUGCUCUACGUGACUUACAUAUUCCGUGUCGAUUACUUUAACGUACGAUUGUCCAGUUACUGCCAGAUAUGGCAAAACCAUCUACCAAGCACGUGCAUUGAAGUAACAAAAAGAAAAAGCAAGGAAAUUGCAAGCAGAGGCUACUACUUCUACGAACGAGUGGCAAGACAUGCGGGGAUUCCCAGGUAUAAAUGAAAAAAACAUUCUGCGAGGAUUGUCGAUCCUUUGGAACUAUUUUACCUGCGGUUA